rnacentral:rRNA from 1 species
GAUGAACGCUGGCGGCGUGCUUAACACAUGCAAGUCGAGCGGUGAAGCAGGAGCUUGCUCUUGUGGAUCAGUGGCGAACGGGUGAGUAACACGUGAGCAACCUGCCCCUGACUCUGGGAUAAGCGCUGGUAACGGCGUCUAAUACUGGAUAUGUGAUGUGACCGCAUGGUCUGCAUCUGGAAAGAAUUUCGGUUGGGGAUGGGCUCGCGGCCUAUCAGCUUGUUGGUGAGGUAAUGGUUCACCAAGGCGUCGACGGGUAGCCGGCCUGAGAGGGUGACCGGCCACACUGGGACUGAGACACGGCCCAGACUCCUACGGGAGGCAGCAGUGGGGAAUAUUGCACAAUGGGCGGAAGCCUGAUGCAGCAACGCCGCGUGAGGGAUGACGGCCUUCGGGUUGUAAACCUCUUUUAGCAGGGAAGAAGCGAAAGUGACGGUACCUGCAGAAAAAGCACCGGCUAACUACGUGCCAGCCGCCGCCGUAA